AUGCUCGCUUUGGCAGCACAUAUACUAAAAUUGGGAUGAUACAGAGAAGAUUAGCAUGGCCCCUGCACAAGGAUGACAUACAAAUUUGUGACGUGUUCCAUAUAUAU